AUAGAAGACUUCAUUUGUUUGGAGAAAGAAGAAUAUUAGAGGUUUUCUCAGGGUGAAUACUUACUAAAGGAUGUGCUUCAGAAAUCUGUGAGUAAUGAGAACACGGAUGGGAAGGAGAGAAAAAAGAUGGAGGCUAGUUGGGAAGCCACUACUUCAAUUCUGAAAUAAAUAAUAAAACCUGAACUAAAAUAGUGACAGCAGUGAUGGAAAACAGAGAAAAGAUGCAAAGGAUUUCUCAGAGUAAGCCUUGUUGGGACUCUCUAGUGGGUUGGAUGUGGGGAGCAAGGAAAAGGCAGAGGUUGAAGAUUGGCAGCUUGGAUAAGCACCUUCAACAGAACAGGGCACAUGAGAGUAGGAAACAUUUGCAUGCAAGCAAAAGAAAAAAAAAAGUGAUUAUUUGCAACACAUUAGGAUUGAGAUACCAACAAGAUCUCCAGGUUGAAAUGUCUAAUGCAGAUUGGAAAUAACGGGUGAGAAGGUUGGAGAGAUACAGUAUUAGACAUGUGGUUCUGGGAGUCACUUGUGGGUUAGCACAAUCUUUAGUUUGCAUGAGAUUCCCCACGGAGCCUGUCAAGAGCAACAAGAGGGUGAAUGACUGGUCAGGAGGUGAUGUCAACAUCAAGACAAACAAGGAAUGGUAAACAAAAGAGGAAAUAAAAGAAGGGACAGAGAGGGGCAAGGGAAGCAGAACAAGAGAACGUGCGUUAAGCCAAUGGAGAGGGUUUCCAGAGGCACACGUGGUUGCUCCUCAGUUAUUUGUUAGAUAAAUGGACCAGUGGAUAAAUGGCUAAAUAAGCAAAUACAAAUAUUUUCAGUCAUGAGCCUUGUGUUUCCCGCAGGCUAACAGACCUGUUUGUUUACCUUGUAAGUUAGCUUUCUGAGAACAAAGCAGUGGAAUUUUCCGAGGUGUCAAAUUCUAAAGAAUAGAAUUUUGUCAUCCAUUCUCCUCCUCAGAUAAAUGUUAAAAUGGAAACUCUACCUAGCACUCUGCUGGAAUUCACAACAUAGUAGCUGGAAACUUGUUGCCCAAGCUGCCAUCUUCAUCUGGCCAUGUAGGAGUCAUAUGAGAAUAAGACCUCACACAGAGGGCAGCAGGGAUGAAAAAGAGAAGAAACCAGGCCCUAGCAAUUUUAUUUACAUCCUGAUCAAACCUUUCCUGAUUUCAAUCCUAACUCUGGACUUUUCAGAGGAUCAGAGGAAAGGAUCUAACCAAAUCCCCACGAUGAGAAGCAGUCCCUGGAACCAGAAGUGGAAGUGUCAAAACUCUCACCAGAAAGCUAGCUAUGAGAGGUUCUAUCCAAGCUGGCAAGCCCAGGUGGUUUGGAAAGUACAAAUAAGAGACCAAAUUGUCGGGGAAAUGAGGACUAGAAUCCUGGAGGGCAGUGUGACACUUUGCUGUCUUUAAAUUUGAAAAGAUUUAUUGGUCAGAUCUGUGUAUGAUGAAAAAGAAGUGCCAAACAUCCAGGAGAAAUUAAAUUUCACGAGAGGUAAAAAUAAGUCAAUAAGAGCAUUUAAAAGUUAAAUGACAAAUUUGUAGAAUUAAUUGCACUAUGAAUUUUAGAUAUGCGAUCUGGUAGGGUGCCAUAUUACAGAGGGGUCUUACUGCAUUGGAUUACUUAGAUCCCAGCACGUCUUAAAAACAUUCAGGUCCUUUCCCCAACAUUACUUCUUUUUGGAGUUAACUUGACAGGAGAUUACUAGUCUGUUAUGCUAAUUAUUUGAUGAUCUUUUACUUUCACCCAUUUAGGUCACUAAUAAGAUGCUCCACUUGACCUUCCUGUAAUUGAUUCUCCAGAAUGAUUAUUUUCAAUGCCAACCCAAUCCCAGCCUGCCCCUGGUUGAAACCCUCCAGUAGCUCCUCAUUCCUAACAGGACAGGACCUGACCCCACCUCCCACUUAGCAACAUGGGAAGAGACACACCUCUUCUCGAUCUGGCCCUCAUUUGCUUUUCUGGACUCACAUGUCCCCAUCUGAUACCUAGUCCUUGCCCCAGCCGUAAGGAACUUCUUUUAGUUCCUGACCUGGAGGCUGGGUCCCUCUUCCCUCUCUGCCUUCUGGGAUUCCAUACUUGGUAUUCCUUCUACGUGGAAUAUUAUUCCCACCCUCUCACCCCUACAACCACAGCUUCCAUUGACCAUGCCUACUCAUCCUCCAGAUCUCAGCUUUAGUGUCACUUUCUCUGGAAAGCCUUCUGUAAGCUGGAAGUCCCUGCUGUGUGACCCUUCUAGGCACUCCCAGACUUGACCCCAUCAGCACUUAGCCCACUGUAUGGUGAUUGCUCGCUCACUUGUGUAGAUCCGCUGUUAAACUGUAAGGUCUAUGAGGAUGUGUAGUGGGCAGAGUAAUACCCCCCAAGAAUGUCCACAUCGUAACCCUGGAAACCGUGAGUAUGUGAUGGUACACAGCAAAGGGAAAUUAAGGUUGCAGGUGGAAUUAAGGCUGAUAGUUAACUUUAAGGUAGGGAGAUUAUUCUGGAUUAUCUAGGUGGGCCCGAUGUAAUCACAAGGGUCCUUAAAAGUACAAAAGGGAGGCAGAAGAGGAAAGUCAGAGAGAGGUAUGAGUAUGGGAGAAUGAGCGGAGAGAUGCAAUGUUGCUGGCUUUGAAGAUGGAAGCAGGGAGCCCUGGGCCAAGGAAUGUGGGCAGUCUCUAGAAGCUGGAAAAGGCAAGGAAAUGGAUUCAUUCCUAGAGCUGCCAGAAGGGAAUGUAGCCCUGCAGAUGCCUUGAUUUUGGCCCAGUGAGGCCCAUUUUGUACUUCUAACCCACAGAACUGGAAGAUAAUCAAGUUGUGUUAUUUUAAGCCACGAGGUAUAUGGUAAUUUGUUAGAGCAGCAAGAGAAAAAAUAACACAGGAAAGAAAUGCUGUCUCUCUUGCUCACAGUUGUAGCCCAAGGUCCAUAAUAGUCCGUGGAAUGUGGUAAAUGGCUUGAUAGCCAUUCAUUGAAUGGGAAACUAGAAUGUCAGGCCAAGGAAUGGCUCUGGAGGAAUGCUCUGUAAGUAUCCAUGUUGCUAAUUGUGAUGCUCAUCGCCUUCUUCCAAUCAUCCUGCCUGUGAAAGGUGAUCCUCCAUUGUGUACUUAUUUCCCUUUUCUCUUUCUUGCUAAAGAUGAAGAAUAUUUUUCUAUUUGGAAGAAGGUAAGACGAUCCAUAUACUAAAAGACAUGAGAGAGAAGAAAGGUGAGAAACUGGGCCAGGAGAGAAAGUUGUAGCACUCUAAGGAGGACAGAGUAAACGAAAGGCUAGGAGCACUGAAGCAUGCUGUAAGGACUUAUGAUGGAUGUCAUUGAGGGUUAUGAACUAGAUCUGCAUUAAUGCUCUCUGUAAGACAAAAGUCUAAGAUGGGAUUAUUUUAAAGUCACUUAUGACUAUUAAAUUGUAUGUCUGUAGAAAAACUUUCUGCAAAGGCUGAGUUUGGCCAUUCUACAUUUAUUAGGGUUCCACUUCUUUUGACACAAUAGCACAAUGAUAGGGACACACUGUUAAGUCCAUUUUGGGUGUGUGAAGUUGAAGCAAACUAGGUAUAUAUCUCUGUCAACUGAACAGUAUUUUUUUUCCAGCUAAUUGAGCUCCUGGGAAACAAGGACAUGAGCUCUUGGUUCAUUACGUUCAAGAUAAGUCCAGCAACAUGUUGAUUUAUCUGGGCACCUUUGGAAUCCUUCAUAAGCAGCUGGGUUCACACAGGAGCCACAGAGGCAUCAAAAAGCCCCUGGAAGAAUUUAGUUAAUUGCCAUUACACUCACAGUUAUGUUACACUUUUGUUAGUUGCUUUUCUCCUUUUGUAAAGCUUAAGUGAGAAGAAGCUUUGCUUUUAAUAACUUAACUUUUAGUAAGAAGAUAUUUUGUACAUUAAAUCUGUAAGCAAUUUUCUUCAAAAUCCAGCUACAAAGAAGCUAAAAUGAAAGGAAACUGUUCUGAAAAAAAUUUCCCAAUAUUUUGGAACUUAAGAAGAGUGAGGAAAAUAAAGUUGCCAUGGAUACUAAAAAGAAAACAGUAGAACUUUUUCCAAAAUUCCUAGGUUAUAGGAAAAAAAUAUCUUUGAAUUGCAAGCUUGGAGAAAAUUUGUGACGUCCAUUUUCUGUACAUUUGCUAAAUAGGACAAGAGCACUGAAAUAAUACAGAUGCCAAAGGUUGAUUUUUAAAGACAAAAUUGGCUGUCAUCCUUGUAACAGCACUGACAGAGCAAUUGUGUUUCAUGUUGAAAAGCCCACAGGCACCAGGAGCAAAGCUAUAGACCUGUCUCCAGUGCUUCUCACCAGUGACACACAGCGAUAUGAAUAUUUCAAUGGCAUUUCUGAAGUUUCCCUUUCAGGAAAUGUUGGGCUGGUUUAAUCCAUUAACCCCUGAAGACACCAGAUUUAUAAUACAAACCUUAAAGUUCACGGAUUUAGCUUAGUAGCUAAAACCACUUCUUUUCUCUCUUCCUAAGAGCCUAAAUUUUCUGCUCUGAGGAGUAAGUCAGGAACAACUCAGGCUUGUGUUGCCUAACUUGCAGAUGCUUAUUUUCAAACCUCUGUUUACUUGUGAAGAUAAAGCACGCAUCUUAAAAAUAAAUUAAAACAGCAAAAGAAGGUUUACAAUGAAAAGGCAUCCUUGAAAUUAUAAUUAUGGUCUUUUGUUACGAUUUGCUAAUGGCUGACGCCUCCACUAGACUGUUCUCUCCAAGAGGGGAUUGGAUUAUUGUAUUCAGUCAGCAAUUGUGACAGCAGGUUCCUUAGUGUCCAGCGUAGAGCUUGGCAUAUCACGGCCUCUCAAUAAAUAAUUCUUGGUUGAAAACAUCAGAGGAAACAAGCUAUCUGAUAUAAGCUCAAGUCUACAAAUGAGACAUGAGGUGACGUGUCUAAGAAAAUGAAGUGGGUUGUGGCAGAAAUUUCACUAGAAUCCAGAAUGGACCCCAGGCUGCAUGACUCCCACUCAGUGUUCUUAUUACCACAGUCAGUUUAAAUGGAAAUUCUUUUCCUAAUAAUCCUCAAGGCAAGAGUCGCAUGGCAACUAGAUUAAAGAACUCUGUAGGGCUCUUGUCUUCCAUUCCAAAUUAAAUGCAUCCAAGGUACCUAUGACUUGCCCACCAGUUUCAGGUGUAGAAGGUGAAGAAUUAAGGAAAGCUCCUCCAUUAGAAGAUGAAGGAUGGGUGCUAUGUGUGGUCUUGGCAUCUCAAACAAACAAACAAACAAACAAAUGUGGAACAAUGUACGUCAAGCCAUCACCUAUCUCCUUAGUUGCUUCUCUUAUAAAGGAGUGAACGAGAAGUGGAGAGAGAAAAUGAAAUUGUUAAAUCUUAAAAUUUCACUCACCAUCCACUCCUAUCCAAGGGUAGGGAAGCUUAUUUCACUUCUUAUGAAACUGUGGAGAUUAGGGAAUAAAGAGUUUCACAAAACACUCCCCAAUUCUUGUUUUCAUGACCUGUAGCAUCUAUAGGUACCUCCUAUUAUCAAAUUUCCAGAGAGAAAUGCAAGUCCAAGAAAUGAAAUAAAUUCCCUCAAAUUAAAUGAAAAGAAACUACAGUCCAGAUUUCUGCUUUCCUUGAUCUCUCCUCCUGCUCUGUCCCAAUCGGAGGGAACUCACAAGGACACUAGGCAUUUGCUGUGGUGAGGUCCCAGGAGAAGUGGCCAGCACAUCAACAGUAUUGCUCUCCCGUGGCAUCCUGAUGGGGGACUAUCCAUGGGCUCCAUCUAGAGACAGCUUCUACUUCCUUUUACAGGAAAUGGCAUCUGAACAGAGCAUGAGUAAGCUUCAAGUGACUUCUCCGGCAUAUUGAGAAGAGCUCUCCUCUUUGCAGGAGUCAGAAAGAUGAUAGCAGAUGGAGCACUGGACGGGGAGCAGUGCUCCUGCUUGCAUUUCCGUGAGGUCGGCUUCCUAACCUAACUGGACAGCCUCACACUCCUCCUAAAGGAGGUGUCGCAGCCCUUCAAGUGACGAGAAUAUGUGCGAAAGCCCUGAGGCAGGAGUGUGCUUGGCACAUCUAUGGUACAUUAAGGACUGCAUAGUAGCUGGAGCCCAGAUCAAAGGGGAGCAUGGACAGAGAAGACGUCAGAGAGGAACCAGGAGCAAGAUCAUGUAGGUCCCUGACAACAAGAAUGGAGACUCCUCUGAGACGAUAUGGCACACAGAAGAAUUUGAGGGCUCAAUGGCAGAUGAUCACAGAAGGGGGGUGUCUCUCAUGGAAUUCUAAGAUGGAAGCCUUUUGUAAAGAUAAUGACAGCAUAUUGGAGGUAACGAACAACUUGUGGAGGGUUGAGACUGAAAUCAAUGACUACACAUAAAGCAAUUAUGCUGCACGGCAUAAAAGAGAUGCCGCGCUCUCCUCAGAGCUUAAUCCCUCCCUGAAAGAGAAUUGAGAAAGACAUUCGGGCUGCCAAUGCUGCACUGAGCGAAUCAGUAAGAAGUGACUGUAGAGUUGGCACUGCUUCCAUUUAUAUAAUCACCUUGGAGGAGCUUUGCUUUGGAAUCAGGAGUGAAGCAUUCCGGGGGCUGUGACUGUCUUACCUCCUUCAGAAGACUGUGUCUAUACAGUAACCUGCUGGUAGUGAAGGUGAGAAAACUGAAGUCAGAGGUUAAGUCAUUGGUCCAAGAUCGCACAGUGAUGAAGUGCCAGAGCUAUGACUUUACUUCCAGGGCUGUUUGACUCCAAGGACUUCUGCAUUUUAUUGUCCUGCUUGCACUUGGCCCUGGGGUGAACCAAGGCAAUAGCAAGCUGACACUCAUGCUUGGUGUAUGAAUGAGGACUCUCAGUGGCGUCCCUAAGAGGGCAUCCAAACUAGUAUGAUCUUGAUUACCUGUUUAAGAUCUAAUUUUCCCUUAACACAGAUAUUGGGAAAGGACUCUUGGAAAAGGCAGGAAUUCUGGGCUUUGGCCCCAUGCUCGGGGACUCCCUCCUGGGUUUCUCACAGUAGUGUGCGUGUGGUUUACCCCAGCUCCUCCUCCUGCCAGCUGGAGGGUCAGUUUAGUUAAACAAACAUUUAGUGAGCAGGCACUUCCUAAGUAAACUACACCAGUAUUAGAUCUGGAAACAAGAAACAAAUCAAGCUCCCUCUCUGACCCUGAGGCCUGACAAUUUAAUCUCUUCUACUUGCAUUGUCCUUCCACUCCAACCACAGGCAAUUGAGAGUCACAUUAGCUACACAGCCUUCUGCUGUAAUUUGAGAAUUGUAGGCUGCGUGUUCCAGGCCUGCUCUGUCACUAAAGGGCCAUGGGCCUGUAUCACAGUCUCUACAUGAGAUGGCCAUGUGGCAACUGCCCCUCCUCAUGUCACACAAAUAUCUUUCAUCUUUUCAUUAUGGACUAGGACAUAACUCUCUUCUGAGAGCUGGGGCUGCCUUUUGCUACAGGAAGAAGAGGGUUUGCUCCUUGUUCUUCAGGGUCUCAGUUUCUACGUCACUUUAGUUCCUACACACUUUCUUUCAUAGUUUGAUGGGUGUCUGUUUCAAUAAACUGCGUGUUUGUUACUGGCAAUGCCAGUGGGAGGUAGUUUUUUUAAGUGUCCCUAUUUCAGGCUCUGAGGGAGCAUCUUAUAACAUCUUUCCAGGUUUCCUUCUCUUAUUUUUGGUGACUGUCUCUGUGCUAAAAACAAACAUAAUUCCCAUGUACUAUCCCUUUUCAGCAUUUUUAUUUUGGAGAUGACUGUGCCAAC
rnacentral:lncRNA from 1 species